UACCAUUGGAUAGCGCCUGAUCUGUAUUCAACAGAUGACGAGGAAAGAGCUCAUCGAAAUAUUCGGCGGAUGGCUCUAGGGACUGCACUCUACAAAGUAUUUUAAAAACUAUCUGCAAAGAUAAAACAAAGAAAUACUUGCGCAGCUG
rnacentral:ncRNA from 2 species